rnacentral:RNase_P_RNA from 14 species
AGACAGAAAGAAAAAAAGGGAGAGCCAAGUAAAAAGAGAGUGUGGGCGCCACAUAUAAUAUAUUAUAUACUUCUGUUCUUUUGUUUGGCUCUUUCUUUUUUUUGCAUUCUCCCCUUUUUCUUUUUUUUUAUUUGAAAAAAUUCAAAAUAA